GAUGAACGCUAGCGGCAGGCUUAAUACAUGCAAGUCGAGGGGCAGCACGGUAUAGCAAUAUAUGGGUGGCGACCGGCAAACGGGUGCGGAACACGUACACAACCUUCCGGUGAGCGGGGGAUAGCCCAGAGAAAUUUGGAUUAAUACCCCAUACUAUAAUGAUCAGGCAUCUGGUUAUUAUCAAAGGCUUCGGCCGCUUAUUGAUGGGUGUGCGUCUGAUUAGGUAGUUGGCGGGGUAGAGGCCCACCAAGCCUACGAUCAGUAGCUGAUGUGAGAGCAUGAUCAGCCACACGGGGCACUGAGACACGGGCCCGACUCCUACGGGAGGCAGCAGUAAGGAAUAUUGGACAAUGGACGCAAGUCUGAUCCAGCCGUGCCG
rnacentral:rRNA from 1 species